AUGCAGACAUCAAGACCAUCCUGACGAGCAUCAACAGCUUCUGCACAGAAAUGAAUCCAGAGGUGAUCAAUCAA